GAUGAACGCUAGCGACAGGCUUAACACAUGCAAGUCGAGGGGCAACGGGGGUGAAAGCUUGCUUUCACCUGCCGGCGACCGGCGCACGGGUGAGUAACACGUAUGCAACCUGCCCUCCACUGGGGGAUAAGCGGAAGAAAUUCCGUCUAAUACCGCAUAACAACCCGAGGGACAUCCCCUUGGGUUUAAAGGAGCGAUCCGGUGGCGGAUGGGCAUGCGGCGCAUUAGCUAGUUGGCGGGGUAACGGCCCACCAAGGGCGACGAUGCGUAGGGGUUCUGAGAGGAAGGUCCCCCACACUGGUACUGAGACACGGACCAGACUCCUACGGGAGGCAGCAGUGAGGAAUAUUGGUCAAUGGGCGGGAGCCUGAACCAGCCAAGUCGCGUGAGGGAAGACGGUCCUAUGGAUUGUAAACCUCUUUUGUCGGGGAGCAAAGAGGCCUCGUGAGGUCAAAAGUGAAAGUACCCGAAGAAAAAGCAUCGGCUAACUCCGUG
rnacentral:rRNA from 1 species